rnacentral:lncRNA from 1 species
UGAGUGGUGGGCCCGGCCGUGGCCGGGAAGUUCGAUCGGAAGUCUGGGACAAGCCAGGGAACACGCAAAGGCCGGGGAAAGAACUCAGGACGCGUGCGCGUCAGGUGUGACGCAUGCGCAGCGCACCCCAGACCCCGGCCGGCCGCUGUCCAACCAUCCCCCUUAGUACGAAUAGGUUGGAGCACUGAGACUUCCGGUUCCGCAAGGCUCACCUUUCAGGUGAGGUUUAUCUCGGCUCAAGAUCACUGAGAGGGAGACCGUCUCAAAGAGUAAUUGUAUCCUGCGUAGCACAAAAGUCACCGUGUUCUGGGAGGAGGGAGGCGCCGCUCCUUCCUCCAGGUCCCCAGUUCACAGCAAAUUCGAGGAGGAAGUAAGGAGACUCCUGUACACUGGAGCGCCCGCCCGCUGUCCCGUCAGACUGGGCGCUGCGCCCUGCCGGCUGCGACCGACCGUUAGGCCAGGACCCAGGGCUUCCGGCCGCCCUUCGCUGCCCAGUGUGGCCUCGACAGCAGGCCAGGCCUCGCUUCGUUGUUUUGAUUUGCUUUCCCUGGCCUGCGCUCAAGCGUCUUCUCGCGCUUGUGCGCAAGCUGAAAGUCUCCGUGAGGAAGUGAAAGAAGGUUGGAUUUGGGAACCCAUUGAGGACACAAAGAAUCCCCCCAAAAAAGAAAAGAAAGAGAAAGAGUG